CUGCUUUCCUCACGUUCGAUCAGUCAUUGCUCCACGAGAUUGUUGUUGGAUGCAAAAGUGGGGGGUUCCUGUGUUGCGUACCUGUUGUGAUGGGGAAAUCGAUUGAUUUUGUUGUGCCUUUCGUCCUCGCUUCCUCUCGGAAGUUCGGAUGGACUAGACGGAUGGGCUCGUGUUCCCGGACGGACGUCUCGCACGAACGUUCCGACGGACCACGAGUGCCAUCUCGUUCUCUCGGAUGCGGAAAGUCCCUAAUGGGCGUGGGUCAAUGGCUCUCGGUCUCGAUUCGGUAAGCGGACGGGAAACGCUUUACAUGGGAAUGACGCUCUUGCCUCGUCUUCGAUCACGGGGAGCGGACGGGAAACGCUCCCGCGAUGGAUCGUGCGUGGCGGACGUCGUGAAGGAAUGCUACCUGGUUGAUCCUGCCAGUAGUCAUAUGCUUGUCUCAAAGAUUAAGCCAUGCAUGUGUAAGUAUGAACUAAUUCAGA
rnacentral:misc_RNA from 1 species